CUUAGAAGCAGCCACCCUUUAAAGAAAGCGUAAUAGCUCACUAGUCGAGUCGGCCUGCGCGGAAGAUAUAACGGGGCUAAACUAUAAACCGAAGCUGCGGACUUAUCUUAUGAUAAGUGGUAGAGGAGCGUUCUGUAAGUUGAUGAAGGUGGAUCGAGAGGUCUGCUGGAGAUAUCAGAAGUGCGAAUGCUGACAUGAGUAACGACAAAGGGGGUGAAAAACCCCCUCGCCGGAAGACCAAGGGUUCCUGCGCAACGCUAAUCGGCGCAGGGUGAGUCGGCCCCUAAGGCGAGGCUGAAGAGCGUAGUCGAUGGGAAACAGGUUAAUAUUCCUGUACCGGUUUAUAUUGCGAUGGAGUGACGGAGAAAGCUAGGCCAGCAUGGCGAUGGUUGUCCAUGUUUAAGGUAGUAGGCUGGGGAAUUAGGCAAAUCCGGUUCCCUAAGGCCGAGAACUGAUGACGAGAUCCUUUUUACAGGAUUGAAGUGGUUGAUGCUCUGCUUCCAGGAAAACCUUCUAAGCUUCAGAUAUAAAGCGACCGUACCCCAAACCGACACAGGUGGUCAGGUAGAG
rnacentral:rRNA from 1 species